rnacentral:tRNA from 1 species
CCUGCUGGCUCAGUCAGUGGAGCCAUGACUCCUGAUCUCAGGGUCUUGUGUUCAAGCCCAACAUUGAGCAC